UGGGGAAUAUUGCACAAUGGGCGCAAGCCUGAUGCAGCCAUGCCGCGUGUGUGAAGAAGGCCUUCGGGUUGUAAAGCACUUUCAGCGGGGAGGAAGGCGAUAAGGUUAAUAACCUUGUCGAUUGACGUUACCCGCAGAAGAAGCACCGGCUAACUCCGUGCCAGCAGCCGCGGUAAUACGGAGGGUGCAAGCGUUAAUCGGAAUUACUGGGCGUAAAGCGCACGCAGGCGGUCUGUCAAGUCGGAUGUGAAAUCCCCGGGCUCAACCUGGGAACUGCAUUCGAAACUGGUAGGCUAGAGUCUUGUAGAGGGGGGUAGAAUUCCAGGUGUAGCGGUGAAAUGCGUAGAGAUCUGGAGGAAUACCGGUGGCGAAGGCGGCCCCCUGGACAAAGACUGACGCUCAGGUGCGAAAGCGUGGGGAGCAAACAGG
rnacentral:rRNA from 1 species